rnacentral:rRNA from 1 species
AUUGAACGCUGGCGGCAUGCCUUACACAUGCAAGUCGAACGGCAGCACGGGAGCAAUCCUGGUGGCGAGUGGCGAACGGGUGAGUAAUAUAUCGGAACGUGCCCAGUCGUGGGGGAUAACGCAGCGAAAGCUGUGCUAAUACCGCAUACGCUCUAAGGAUGAAAGCGGGGGAUCGCAAGACCCCGCGCGAUUGGAGCGGCCGAUAUCAGAUUAGCUAGUUGGUGGGGUAAAGGCCCACCAAGGCGACGAUCUGUAGCUGGUCUGAGAGGACGACCAGGCACACUGGAACUGAGACACGGUCCAGACUCCUACGGGAGGCAGCAGUGGGUAAUUUUGGACAAUGGGCGCAAGCCUGAUCCAGCAACGCCGCGUGGAGGAUGAAGGUCUUCGGAUUGUAAACUCCUGUUGACCGGGAAAAAUUUCUGCGGGGCUAAUAUCUCCGCAGGGUGAUGGUACCGGUUGAGGAAGCCCCGGCUAACUCUGUGCCAGCCGCCGCAGUAA